rnacentral:rRNA from 1 species
GUGAGGAAUAUUGGUCAAUGGGCGCGAGCCUGAACCAGCCAAGUAGCGUGAGGGAUGACUGCCCUAUGGGUUGUAAACCUCUUUUGCAGGGGGGUAAAGUGGUUCACGUGUGGACCAUUGCAAGUACCCUGCGAAUAAGGAUCGGCUAACUCCGUGCCAGCAGCCGCGGUAAUACGGAGGAUCCGAGCGUUAUCCGGAUGUAUUGGGUUUAAAGGAGCGUAGGCGGGGGUUUAAGUCAGCUGUGAAAUGCCGUGGCCCAACCAUGGAACUGCAGUUGAAACUGGACCUCUUGAGAGUACAUAAGGAAGGCGGAAUUCGUGGUGUAGCGGUGAAAUGCAUAGAUAUCACGAAGAACUCCGAUUGCGAAGGCAGCUUUCCGGGGUACAUCUGACGCUGAAGCUCGAAAGUGCGGGAAUCAAACAGGAUUAGAAACCCCUGUAGUCC